UACGAAGGGGGGCUAGCGUUGCUCGGAUUGACUGGGCGUAAAGGGCGCGUAGGCGGUUCGUACAGUCAGACGUGAAAUUCCUGGGCUCAACCUGGGGGCUGCGUUUGAUACGUGCGGACUUGAGUGCGGAAGAGGGUCGUGGAAUUCCCAGUGUAGAGGUGAAAUUCGUAGAUAUUGGGAAGAACACCGGUGGCGAAGGCGGCGACCUGGACGACACCUGACGCUGAGGCACGAAAGCUGGGGGGAGCGAACAGG
rnacentral:rRNA from 1 species